rnacentral:rRNA from 1 species
UACGAAGGGGGCUAGCGUUGCUCGGAAUCACUGGGCGUAAAGCGCACGUAGGCGGCUUCUUAAGUCAGGGGUGAAAUCCUGGAGCUCAACUCCAGAACUGCCUUUGAUACUGAGGAGCUUGAGUCCGGGAGAGGUGAGUGGAACUGCGAGUGUAGAGGUGAAAUUCGUAGAUAUUCGCAAGAACACCAGUGGCGAAGGCGACUUCCUGGCCUGUUCUUGACGCUGAGGCGCGAAAGCUAGGGGAGCAAACGGG